rnacentral:rRNA from 1 species
AUUGAACGCUGGCGGCAUGCUUUACACAUGCAAGUCGAACGGUAACAGGCCUUCGGGUGCUGACGAGUGGCGAACGGGUGAGUAAUGCAUCGGAACGUACCCAGAGGUGGGGGAUAACGCAGCGAAAGCUGUGCUAAUACCGCAUGUGAUCUGAGGAUGAAAGCGGGGGACCGAGCAGCAAUGUUUGGCCUCGCGCCUUUGGAGCGGCCGAUGUCGGAUUAGCUAGUUGGUGGGGUAAAGGCCUACCAAGGCGACGAUCCGUAGCUGGUCUGAGAGGACGACCAGCCACACUGGGACUGAGACACGGCCCAGACUCCUAAGGGAGGCAGCAGUGGGGAAUGUUGGACAAUGGGCGCAAGCCUGAUCCAGCAAUGCCGCGUGCGGGAAGAAGGCCUUCGGGUUGUAAAUCGCUUUUGGCAGGAACGAAACGGUGUCCGCUAAUACCGGGCGCUAAUGACAGUACCUGCAGAAUAAGCACCGGCUAACUACGUG